GCUUCGCUGGCCAAACUGGAAAAGGCAUCAGCUUUAAGCGCUGUGAUUUCUUGGUUCGAAUCCAAGGCGAAGUA
rfam:Winogradskyella sp. PG-2 DNA, complete genome.